UGCGAGGGCUGUCGCUGACYCAAAAGUCGUGCWSGCCCGAGUGUGUUCUCUCACAUGAUCAAUCCAUCUCACCCUUUUGUGCAUCACCGCGUGGGCACCCUUCGGGAUCGUCUCGGAGGGGGCUCGCGUUUUCACACAAAACCCCCCUUUUAAAAAAGUGUAAAAUGACCUCAUUUAUGCGCUAACCCGCAAUCAAUACAACUUUCAACAACGGAUCUCUUGGCUCUCGCAUCGAUGAAGAACGCARCGAAAUGCGAUACGUAAUGUGAAUUGCAGAAUUCAGUGAAUCAUCGAAUCUUUGAACGCACCUUGCGCCCCUUGGUAUUCCGAGGGGCACACCCGUUUGAGUGUCGUGAAAACCUCAACCUCCUUGGUUUCUUCUGGAGACCAAAGCAGGCUUGGACUUUGGAGGCCCUUUGCUGGCACCUCUCUUUUGAAGGCCAGCUCCUCUUAAAUGAAUUASCAGGGUCCUCUUUGCUGAUCCUCGACGUGUGAUAAGAUGUUUCCAUGUCUUGGUUUCUGGCUCUGUCACCUUUGGGACCCGCUUCUAACCGUCUUGACCUUGCAUCGARACAACGUUCGAGCAUGUCUCCCUUUCUCGGGAAGCUCCCUCGACCCCACGAACCCCUUGACCUCAAAUCGGGUGAGACUACCCGCUGAACUUAAGCAUAUCAAUAAG
rnacentral:rRNA from 1 species